rnacentral:rRNA from 1 species
AGAGUUUGAUCAUGGCUCAGAUUGAACGCUGGCGGCAGGCUUAACACAUGCAAGUCGAGCGGAGAUGAGGUGCUUGCACCUUAUCUUAGCGGCGGACGGGUGAGUAAUGCUUAGGAAUCUGCCUAUUAGUGGGGGACAACAUUCCGAAAGGAAUGCUAAUACCGCAUACGUCCUACGGGAGAAAGCAGGGGAUCUUCGGACCUUGCGCUAAUAGAUGAGCCUAAGUCGGAUUAGCUAGUUGGUGGGGUAAAGGCCUACCAAGGCGACGAUCUGUAGCGGGUCUGAGAGGAUGAUCCGCCACACUGGGACUGAGACACGGCCCAGACUCCUACGGGAGGCAGCAGUGGGGAAUAUUGGACAAUGGGGGGAACCCUGAUCCAGCCAUGGCCGCGUGUGUGAAGAAGGCCUUAUGGUUGUAAAGCACUUUAAGCGAGGAGGAGGCUACUGAGACUAAUACUCUUGGAUAGUGGACGUUACUCGCAGAAUAAGCACCGGCUAACUCUGUGCCAGCAGCCGCGGUAAUACAGAGGGUGCGAGCGUUAAUCGGAUUUACUGGGCGUAAAGCGUGCGUAGGCGGCUUUUUAAGUCGGAUGUGAAAUCCCCGAGCUUAACUUGGGAAUUGCAUUCGAUACUGGGAAGCUAGAGUAUGGGAGAGGAUGGUAGAAUUCCAGGUGCAGCGGUGAAAUGCGUAGAGAUCUGGAGGAAUACCGAUGGCGAAGGCAGCCAUCUGGCCUAAUACUGACGCUGAGGUACGAAAGCAUGGGGAGCAAACA